UCCUAAUAGCCAGGGGGGGAAGAGGGGCUGGCUCUCAGUCCCUGCCUCGCGGGUGGUCCUUCACCCCGCUGCGAUGGGGGUCCUAAGAGCAAGGGGGGGAAGUGGGGCUGGCUCUCUGUCCCCGCCUCGCCGGGGGUGCCUCGCACCCUUGCGAUGGGGGUCCUAAGAGCCAGUAGGGGAAGAGGAGCUGGCUCUCAGUCACCACAGCAUGGGGGGCCUUUCUGUUCUGGUUUUGCCCAAGAGUAAGCUUAUUUGCAUCUGGUUCUAGCAAGGGAAUUGCUGCGAAGGCCCUCAAACAGGGGGGCCAUCCUUUCGAAUCCCUAUCUAGUUGUUUAGAGAUGUAGGCCACCGGCCUCAGCCAAGGCCCCACAGUUUGGGUUAAAAGUCCAGCUGCCAUCUUUUCUCUCUGACGCAUACAAUGGAAAAGGCUUUGUGAGAUCGGGUAGCCCCUCGGCUGGGGCUUUCAGAAGUUUUUCCUUUAAGUCAUGAAAGACUUGCUGUUGUUGGAAUCCCCAUUCCAAAAGUUCCCGGUCCCCGCCCCCAUUGUGACCUCAUACAAAGGCUUGGCUAAUACUGCAAAGUUUGGGAUUCCCAGUCUACAAAACCCCACAGCUCCUAGGAAUUCUCUCACCACCCUUGUGCCUUUAGGCUUCGGUAGAUUGCAAAUGACCUGCUUUCUUUCGGAUCCCGGGCUGCUUUCGGACACCUGUCGAAUAGUAAAUCCCAAGUAAGGUACCUGCGGUCGUCGGCAGAUCUGAAUUUUCUUCUUGGACACCUAAUACCCACAGUCCUCCAGAGACCGAGAGGUUGAUGUCACUCCCAAUAUCGGAGGAAGUAUACACCCCCGUGUGAGAUGGUCCUUAAUAAUAUUCCACGGCGGAGGGGGUGAUAUGACUACAUACAUGGCAGAAAGUGGAAACCUCCCAGGGAUAUUGUUCCCACGAUCCUGGAGGGAAGAAGAUGAUGUUACUUUCAAUAUGACAGAAGGUGGAUGAAGUGGUGGACUGCCCCUCCACACCUGUGGACACGCCCCCACUGAUAUUCCUUCUAAUUGCAGCGUGGGAGAGGAGGAUAUGACACGCGAUAUCGCAGGGAGUAGAAACACCCCUGUGAUACUGUUCUUAAUAUUCAGGGAGGAAGAGGAUGAUAUUACUCCCAAUACAGACGGGUGUACACCCUCUGUACACCGAGGGUGUACACCUGUCUGUGAAAGAGUUCGUAAUCUCCAGAGGGGGAGAUGAUAUUACUCACAAUAUGGUAAAGAGGCUGUGAGUCCACGGAGGAUCCUCAGAGCCAGCGGGGGAAGAGGGGCUGGCUCUCAGUCCCCGCCUCGCGGGGGUGACUCCCCCCAGUGCGAUGGGGGUCCUAAGAGCCAGUGGGGGAAGAGGGGCUGGCUCUGAGACCCCGCCUCGCGGGGGGUGCCUCCCCGCCCUGUGAUGGGGGUCCGAAGAGCCAGAAGGCUUAGAGGGGCUGGCUCUCAGUCCCCGCCUCGCGGGGGGUGCCUCCUCCCCCUGCGAUGGGGGUCGUAAGAGCCACUGGGGGAAUAGGGGCUUGCUCUCAGUCACCGCCUCGCGGGGGGUGCCUCCUUUCCUUUCUACAUAGACACAGUGACAGUCUGAUCUCUCUUUCUUUUCCCUACAGAUGGACACGCCCCCACUGAUAUUGUUUUUAAUGCAGCGUGGGAGGGGAGGAUAUGACACGCGAUAUCGCAGGUAGUAGAAACACCCCUUUGAUAGUGUUCUUAAUAUUCAGGGAGGAAGAAGAUGAUGUUACUCCCAAUACAGACGGAUGUACACCCUCUGUACACCGAGGGUGUACACCCGUCUGUGAAGGAGUUCGUAAUCUCCAGAGGUGGAGAUGAUAUUACUCACAAUAUGGUAAACAGGCUGUGAGUCCAUCGCGGAUCCUCAGAGCCAGGUGGGGAAGAGGGGCUGGCUGUCAGUCCCCUCCUCGCGGGGGGUGCCUCCCCCACUGCUAUGGGGAUCCCAAGAGCCAGUGGGGGAAGAGGUGCUGGCUCUCAGUCUCCGCCUCGCGAGGUGCCUCCCCACCCUGCGAUCGGGGUCCGAAGAGCCAGGGGGGAAGAGGGGCUGGCUCUCUUCGUGGAUGAUUCUUUUUCCAUUCUCAGGCAGUUUUCUUUUUUCUUUCUUUCUUUUUUUUUUUUUUUGAGACUGAGUCUUGCUCUGUUGCCCAUGCUUUGCUCGAUCUCGGGUGACUGCAACCACUGCCUCCCAGGUUCAAGAGAUUCUCCUGCCUCAGCCUCCUGAGUAGCUGGGACUAGAGGCGUGUGUCACCACACCCAGCUAAUUUUUGUAUUUUUAGUAGAGAUGGGGUUUCACCAUGUUUGCCAGGAUGGUCUCUAUCUCCUGCCCUUGUGAUCCACCCACCUCAGCCUCCCAAAGUGCUGGGAUUGCAGGUGCGAGCCACCGGGUCCAGCCUCUCAGGCGAUUUUCAUACCUGCAUACUCUGGUCACUACUCUGUUAAACAGUCAAGGAGGCUGAGUGCCACGUGCUGACGUCACUAAGAUCAAUACAGCAAACUCUGAAAGAUGGACAGAGAGACAGGAGAUGGUCCUUUAUAAUGCAGUGUGAUCUGUGCUGCAAUAGAGUUUUGGAAGCUAGAAGUUCAAAACGAGGUGUUGGCAGCACCAUGCUCUCUCUGAAGAUGCUAGGAAGAAUCUGCUCCAUGCCUUUCCAUUCGCUUCUGGGGUUUCCUGCAAGCCCUGACAUUCCUUGGCUUGUAGAUGCAUCACCCCAGUUUCCGCCCCCAUCAUCACAUGGCCUCCUCUCUGUGUGUGCCUCUGCGUUCCCUCUAUUCUUCUUCUAAGGACACCGACACCAGUCAUAGUGGAUUAAGUGUCCACUCCUAACCAAUUACAUCUGCAACAACC
rnacentral:lncRNA from 1 species